rnacentral:rRNA from 1 species
GUGGGGAAUCUUGCGCAAUGGGCGAAAGCCUGACGCAGCCAUGCCGCGUGAAUGAUGAAGGUCUUAGGAUUGUAAAAUUCUUUCACCGGGGACGAUAAUGACGGUACCCGGAGAAGAAGCACCGGCUAACUUCGUGCCAGCAGCCGCGGUAAUACGAAGGGUGCAAGCGUUAAUCGGAAUUACUGGGCGUAAAGCGCGCGUAGGUGGUUCAGCAAGUUGGAUGUGAAAGCCCCGGGCUCAACCUUGGAAUUGCCUUUGAUACUGGCAGUCUUGAGUACGGGAGAGGUGUGUGGAACUCCGAGUGUAGAGGUGAAAUUCGUAGAUAUUCGGAAGAACACCAGUGGCGAAGGCGACACACUGGCCCGUUACUGACGCUGAGGCUCGAAAGCGUGGGGAGCAAACAGGAUUAGAUACCCCUGUAGUCC